rnacentral:rRNA from 1 species
GAUGAACGCUGGCGGCGUGCUUAACACAUGCAAGUCGAACGGGAUCCAUCAGGCUUUGCUUGGUGGUGAGAGUGGCGAACGGGUGAGUAAUGCGUGACCGACCUGCCCCAUACACCGGAAUAGCUCCUGGAAACGGGUGGUAAUGCCGGAUGCUCCAGUUGAUCGCAUGGUCUUCUGGGAAAGCUUUCGCGGUAUGGGAUGGGGUCGCGUCCUAUCAGCUUGACGGCGGGGUAACGGCCCACCGUGGCUUCGACGGGUAGCCGGCCUGAGAGGGCGACCGGCCACAUUGGGACUGAGAUACGGCCCAGACUCCUACGGGAGGCAGCAGUGGGGAAUAUUGCACAAUGGGCGAAAGCCUGAUGCAGCGACGCCGCGUGAGGGAUGGAGGCCUUCGGGUUGUAAACCUCUUUUAUCGGGGAGCAAGCGAGAGUGAGUU